rnacentral:rRNA from 1 species
CAGCAGCCGCGGUAAUACGUAGGGUGCAAGCGUUAAUCGGAAUUACUGGGCGUAAAGCGUGCGCAGGCGGUUAUAUAAGACAGAUGUGAAAUCCCCGGGCUCAACCUGGGAACUGCAUUUGUGACUGUAUAGCUAGAGUACGGCAGAGGGGGAUGGAAUUCCGCGUGUAGCAGUGAAAUGCGUAGAUAUGCGGAGGAACACCGAUGGCGAAGGCAAUCCCCUGGGCUUGUACUGACGCUCAUGCACGAAAGCGUGGGGAGCAAACAGGAUUAGAUACCCCCGUAGUCCCUGUCUCUUAUAA